GACGAACUGUGCGAACGUUAUUCGGAAUCACUGGGCUUACAGGGUGCGUAGGCGGCCUGCUAGGUAGGGUGUGAAAUCCCCCGGCCCAACCGGGGAACUGCGCUCUAAACUAACAGGCUUGAGUGAGCUAGGGGUGCACGGAACUUCCAGUGGAGCGGUGAAAUGUGUUGAUAUUGGAAGGAACACCGGAGGCGAAAGCGGUGCACUGGGGCUUAACUGACGCUGAGGCACGAAAGCCAGGGUAGCGAACGGG
rnacentral:rRNA from 1 species